rnacentral:rRNA from 1 species
CCUACGGGAGGCAGCAGUGAGGAAUAUUGGUCAAUGGACGCAAGUCUGAACCAGCCAUGCCGCGUGCAGGAAGACGGCUCUAUGAGUUGUAAACUGCUUUUGUACGGGGGUAAACUCCGAUACGCGUGUCUUUCUGAAAGUAUCGUACGAAUAAGGAUCGGCUAACUCCGUGCCAGCAGCCGCGGUAAUACGGAGGAUUCAAGCGUUAUCCGGAUUUAUUGGGUUUAAAGGGUGCGUAGGCGGUCGGAUAAGUUAGCGGUGAAAUCCCGAGGCUCAACUUCGGAAUUGCCGCGGAUACUGUCAGGCUAGAGAGGAGUUGCGGUAGGCGGAAUGUAUGGUGUAGCGGUGAAAUGCUUAGAGAUCAUACAGAACACCGAUUGCGAAGGCAGCAUACCAAGCUACGUCUGACGUUGAGGCACGAAAGCGUGGGUAGCAAACAGGAUUAGAUACCCGGGUAGUC